UACGGAGGGUGCGAGCGUUGUCCGGAUUUAUUGGGUUUAAAGGGUGCGUAGGUGGCUUUUAAGUCAGUGGUGAAAUACAGCCGCUCAACGGUUGAGGUGCCAUUGAUACUGAAGAGCUUGAAACAAGUGGAGGCUGCCGGAAUGGAUGGUGUAGCGGUGAAAUGCAUAGAUAUCAUCCAGAACACCGAUUGCGAAGGCAGGUGGCUACGUUUGAUUUGACACUGAGGCACGAAAGCAUGGGGAGCAAACAGG
rnacentral:rRNA from 1 species